rfam:Helobdella robusta unplaced genomic scaffold HELROscaffold_2, whole genome shotgun sequence.
CCCGUGAUAGCUCAGUUGGUAGAGCGGAGGACUGUAGUUUGUUAAUGUGGCUAUCCUUAGGUCGGCGGUUCGACUCCGUCUCGCGGGA